UGGCAGAAAAGGAUUCGUUUA
rnacentral:miRNA from 1 species